rnacentral:rRNA from 1 species
GAUCCUGGCUCAGAAUCAACGCUGGCGGCGCGCUUAACACAUGCAAGUCGAACGAGAAAGGGGAGCAAUCCCUGAGUAAAGUGGCGUACGGGUGAGUAACACGUGGGUAAUCUACCUUUUGGUGGGGAAUAACGCUGGGAAACCGGCGCUAACACCGCAUGAGCUAGCCACUUGAGGUGGUUAGGAAAAGAGAAAUCUGCCGAAAGAGGAGCCCGCGGCUGAUUAGCUAGUUGGUGAGGUAAAGGCUCACCAAGGCAAUGAUCGGUAGCCGGCCUGAGAGGGCACACGGCCACACUGGCACUGAAACACGGGCCAGACUCCUACGGGAGGCAGCAGUGGGGAAUCUUGCACAAUGGGGGAAACCCUGAUGCAGCGACGCCGCGUGAGUGAUGAAGCCCUUCGGGGUGUAAAGCUCUUUCGGCAGGGACGAUAAUGACGGUACCUGAAGAAGAAGCUGCGGCUAACUACGUGCCAGCAGCCGCGGUAAUACGUAGGCAGCGAGCGUUGUUCGGAGUUACUGGGCGUAAAGAGUGCGUAGGCGGUUUUCUAAGUUUGGUGUGAAAUCUCCCGGCUCAACUGGGAGGGUGCGCCGAAGACUGGAAGGCUAGAGUGUGGGAGAGGUAAGCGGAAUUCCUGGUGUAGCGGUGAAAUGCGUAGAUAUCAGGAGGAACACCUGCGGUGUAGACGGCU